rnacentral:rRNA from 1 species
UACCCUGGUAGUCCACGCCGUAAACGAUGUCGACUUGGAGGUUGUGCCCUUGAGGCGUGGCUUCCGGAGCUAACGCGUUAAGUCGACCGCCUGGGGAGUACGGCCGCAAGGUUAAAACUCAAAUGAAUUGACGGGGGCCCGCACAAGCGGUGGAGCAUGUGGUUUAAUUCGAUGCAACGCGAAGAACCUUACCUGGUCUUGACAUCCACGGAAGUUUUCAGAGAUGAGAAUGUGCCUUCGGGAACCGUGAGACAGGUGCUGCAUGGCUGUCGUCAGCUCGUGUUGUGAAAUGUUGGGUUAAGUCCCGCAACGAGCGCAACCCUUAUCCUUUGUUGCCAGCGGUCCGGCCGGGAACUCAAAGGAGACUGCCAGUGAUAAACUGGAGGAAGGUGGGGAUGACGUCAAGUCAUCAUGGCCCUUACGACCAGGGCUACACACGUGCUACAAUGGCGCAUACAAAGAGAAGCGACCUCGCGAGAGCAAGCGGACCUCAUAAAGUGCGUCGUAGUCCGGAUUGGAGUCUGCAACUCGACUCCAUGAAGUCGGAAUCGCUAGUAAUCGUGGAUCAGAAUGCCUCGGUGUAAUAUGU